AUGCCAGUGAGAGAGCCUGUUUGUGCACAGCUGCACAUACAUAAGGGAAUGGCGUGCAUGCCUGGAACCUGGCUUUCCCUUACUCUCCUCUUCUCCCGCCAGCUAUGCUUGUUUCUUCUCUUAUCUCCAGAAAUGGCCACCAGUGUGACAGACCAUGAAAAUGUAAGGAUCAUCACACAAGUCGUCCAACAAACAGAUCCGCAGGCUGUUGCUAGUGUGCUUGGGAAUACAUCCAUUGCAUCACAGCUCAAGCCAUCGCAGAGCCAAAGGCUGAAUACGCUGCCAAAGGCACUCGGGGUUGUGCAGAUUGUGUUGGGGGCUAUACAGAUAUGCUUUGGCAUUGCUCUGACAGAAGCACAAAAGAACUUUAAGAGCUUCACUGUGAAGAGUGCAGUCUACUUCUGGAUUGGGAUCUUGGUGAAAGCCUCUUUCUUUGCUGGCUUGUUAGUCAGUGUGGCUGCAGUGAUUGCAGUCAUCCUCCAUGUUAUUGAGAUUUUACAAGAAAAGAGAAAAGGAAAUCCAUGUGAUAAGCAUCCUGACAAAGAUUGUGUUGCUAGUAGUCAGUUGAUAAUAUACAGUCUGAACUCAGUCUUCAUCAUCCUUUCACUCCUUGAACUGUCUGCAGCUGUCACUGCAUUGGUGACUGGAUUUAAAGACAGAAGACAGCAACCUUAUCAAGAGAUGGUGAGGAAGGAACCCCUCCUUGUUGUCUUACACAUUUCUGCUGCUUUGAUAUGUCUUGUUCUAAAGCACUAUCCUUCCUUGUUAUAA
rnacentral:lncRNA from 1 species